rnacentral:rRNA from 1 species
AGCGAACGCUGGCGGCAGGCUUAAUACAUGCAAGUCGAACGCCUGUAGCAAUUCAGGAGUGGCAGACGGGUGAGUAACGCGUGGGAACGUACCCUUCGGUUCGGAAUAACUCAGGGAAACUUGAGCUAAUACCGGAUACGUCCGCAAGGAGAAAGAUUUAUUGCCGAAGGAUCGGCCCGCGUCCGAUUAGCUAGUUGGUGGGGUAAUGGCCCACCAAGGCGACGAUCGGUAGCUGGUCUGAGAGGAUGAUCAGCCACACUGGGACUGAGACACGGCCCAGACUCCUACGGGAGGCAGCAGUAGGGAAUAUUGGACAAUGGGCGAAAGCCUGAUCCAGCCAUGCCGCGUGGGUGAUGAAGGCCUUAGGGUUGUAAAGCCCUUUCGGCGGGGAAGAUAAUGACGGUACCCGCAGAAGAAGCCCCGGCUAACUUCGUGCCAGCAGCCGCCGUAAGAC